rnacentral:rRNA from 1 species
UACGUAGGGCGCAAGCGUUGUCCGGAAUUAUUGGGCGUAAAGAGCUCGUAGGCGGUUUGGUAAGUCCGGUGUGAAAGUCACAGGCUCAACCUGUGAAUGCCGCUGGAAACUGUCUGGCUAGAGUCCGGAAGGGGCGAGUGGAAUUCCUGGUGUAGCGGUGAAAUGCGCAGAUAUCAGGAGGAACACCAAUGGCGAAGGCAGCUCGCUGGGACGGUACUGACGCUGAGGCGCGAAAGCGUGGGGAGCGAACAGG